UACGGGAGGGGGCUAGCGUUGUCCGGAUUUAUUGGGCGUAAAGAGCGUGUAGGCGGCCAGACAGGUCCGUUGUGAAAACUAGAGGCUUAACCUCUAGACGUCGAUGGAAACCGUCUGGCUAGAGUCCGGAAGAGGAGAAUGGGAAUUCCUGGGUGUAGCGGUGAAAUGCGCAGAUAUCAGGAAGAACACCCGUGGCUAAGGCGGUUCUCUAGUACGGUACUGACGCUGAGACGCGAAAGCGUGGGGAGCGAACAGG
rnacentral:rRNA from 1 species